GGGCAGAGCAGCGCUGGUGUCAGCGGCGGCACACAGCUCCCAAUGCCCGCAAGCUUGCUACAGGGAAAGGGGUGAAGGAGAGGCAGGGACGGGAAAUCAAACUAUGCUGCAGGAUUUGGGGCUGUUCCAACCUAACAAAGCAGCCGGGUGACCCCGAGGAGCAGCAGAAAGCACCCGGAGCCCCUCCGCCACCGCUGCAGCACGCGCUUCCUGCAUCCAUCCAUCCCAAGGCAGCCCGCAGUAACGCAGCAGAAAGACAAGGGUCAUGCUGAGCCGCAUCCUCCUCGCACACAACAGCCGAGCGGCAGCACCGAACAUGCAUGGCUCAGCCGUGCCGCCACGCCACGCCGGAACGGAGAGCCUUAAAAUAAGCACUGGAAAUGUCCUCCUCGCAAACACUUCAGCCUCCUUUUGAAGAGAAACAUAAAAAUAAUGCAUGGGAAUAAACACUCUCCUUCCACAGAAGCACAGAACUGAGCAGUUCAACACGCAACUUUGGGAACUUCUCCAAGAUUUAUAUGUUGUGCAUGAAAAGCAAAUGGCUUUUUCCUGCCUGGGAAAAUACUGAAGUGCCACAUUCAGGAGGCCAAACGCGUGCACUGCUGCCUGGUGCUGCACCUCGGAUGGAGCCCCAGUGCUGGGCUGACCCCCCCGGCCUCACUCCCUGCCUCACCAGACAGCCGAGCUCUUGGCACCCCUCUGCUUUUUGCAGCAACGCGCUGAGCGAUUUCUCUCUCUAUUUUUUUCCCAUUUCUUUCUAUAUUCUUUAAAUCUUUCUGACCAGUUAGACCAGAACCAUCCCAAUUGCAAAAUCCAGGAAAUCUGCCGCAACGCCCUGCAAUACUUACGAGGCCAUUAGCCAGAAACCUCAAACAAAUAAGUUGUGUUUUCUUUUUUCUGCUACACCAUGCUAACCACCAAGUAUUAACCCAUUGCUCAGGGAACAACAUCUGCAGCAAUCACUUCCUGAUUUAGGAGCAGGGAGAUUUGCUGCAGCAGCUCCUAUCCAUGGCUACAGCACGGCCACUCCGUGGGCACAGCGCACGGCUCCAUGGACCCACAGCACUGAAACUGGGAUUACUGGGAUUGGCUUCUGUGAGACCCAAACGGCCUCAGCAAUAAAUCACAGCACGGGGCAGGACAGUUCCUGGGCUGGGAAGAAGAAAGACACCUCUGAGCAGCAAAGCUGCAAACUGGGUUCGGUAUCAAACCUCUGCAUUCACACAGUGUUUUGUUUUGGGCUUUUUUUUUUCUUUUUUUUUCCAUGGGAAGAUGUCAAAAUACAAGAAAAAUAUAAGAAAAAAUAAGGUUUGUGAUCCAGUACAGGAAGCAGCUAUCACCUGCAGACAAACGCAGGCAGAGCACGGUGACAACAGCAGCGCACAGCCAGCACCCAUCGGCAGCAACGCGCUGCAACACCUUUCCUUAUUGCACGCUGAAACAGCAGCCAGGGCUGUGUGUUAUUUAUGAUAACUCAUUCCCUCUCCCUGCCUCUCCCUUUCCCCCAUCCUAAAAAGCCAAUAAAAUAAAACAAAGUGCUUCCUUUGGGGAACACAGCGGCAGUAACAGCGCUCCCAUCUGUUGCUGAGCACUGGGGAGGAAACAGAGUGCGGGGCUGAGAGUCAAAGGUCUGCAGGGCUCUAUUGAGAAAGGGAGCCCAGCAUCAUCCCAGCAAUGGGAGACGAUUCUGAACCACCUCCUGAAUCUUUUAACGAGCUCUGGAGGUAAAUAUGUUAAUUUGACUUCAAUCACAGUUCGGGGAGGGGAGAAAAAAAAGCACACCGUAUGAGUUGAGGGGAUCGAGUCUUAAAACUAUUCAUGCGUUGCUGCAUAUUUGAUGCUCAGCAAAUAAAGUUCCAAGGUUCUAUAA